rnacentral:rRNA from 1 species
AUGCUUGAUGCCGCGUGAGUGAAGAAGGCCUUUGGGUUGUAAAGCUCUUUUGUAGGGGAAGAUAANACUGUACCCUAAGAAUAAGGUCCGGCUAACUUCGUGCCAGCAGCCGCGGUAAUACGAAGGGACCUAGCGUAGUUCGGAAUUACUGGGCGUAAAGCGCGCGUAGGCCGUUGAGUUAGUUAAUUGUGAAAUCCCAAAGCUUAACUUUGGAACUGCAAUUAAAACUGCUCGACUAGAGUUUGAUAGAGGAAAGCGGAAUACAUAGUGUAGAGGUGAAAUUCGUAGAUAUUAUGUAGAACACCAGUUGCGAAGGCGGCUUUCUGGGUCAACACUGACGCUGAGGCGCGAAAGUAUGGGUAGCAAAGAGGAUUAGAUACCCUCGUAGUCCAUACCAUAAACGAUGAUUGCUAGAUGUUGGAAAUUUAUUUUCAGUAUCGCAGCUAACGCAUUAAGCAAUCCGCCUGGGGAGUACGACCGCAAGGUUAAAACUCAAAUGAAUUGACGGGGACCCGCACAAGCGGUGGAGCAUGUGGUUUAGUUCGAAGAUACGCGCAGAACCUUACCAACCCUUGACAUGUCUGUCGCGAGUUUAGGAAACUAGACUUUUCGGUUCGGCCGGACAGAACACAGGUGCUGCAUGGCUGUCGUCAGCUCGUGUCGUGAGAUGUUGGGUUAAG